rnacentral:rRNA from 1 species
AGAGUUUGAUCCUGGCUCAGAACGAACGUUAGCGGCGCGCCUAACACAUGCAAGUCGCACGAGAAAGGGCUUCGGCCCCGGUAAAGUGGCGCACGGGUGAGUAACACGUGGGUAAUCUUCCCUCGAGCGGGGGAUAACAUUCCGAAAGGAGUGCUAAUACCGCAUAAGACCACGGACUCGAAAGAGUCUGCGGUCAAAGCUGGCCUCUUCAUGAAAGCUAGCACUUGAGGAUGAGCCCGCGGCCCAUCAGGCAGUUGGCAGGGUAAUGGCCUACCAAACCUAAGACGGGUAGCUGGUCUGAGAGGAUGAUCAGCCACACUGGAACUGAGACACGGUCCAGACUCCUACGGGAGGCAGCAGUGGGGAAUCUUGCGCAAUGGACGAAAGUCUGACGCAGCGACGCCGCGUGAGUGAUGAAGGCCUUCGGGUUGUAAAGCUCUGUGGGGAGAGAAGAAUUAGUGGAGGCUAAUCACUCCAUGAUGACGGUAUCUCCUUAGCAAGCACCGGCUAACUCUGUGCCAGCAGCCGCGGUAAGACAGAGGGUGCAAACGUUGUUCGGAAUUACUGGGCGUAAAGCGUGUGUAGGUGGCUGCGAAAGUCGGAUGUGAAAGCCCUGGGCUCAACUCAGGAAGUGCACCCGAUACUGCGUAGCUAGAGUACCGGAGAGGUUGGUGGAAUUCUCGGUGUAGAGGUGAAAUUCGUAGAUAUCGAGAGGAACACCUGUGGCGAAGGCGGCCAACUGGACGAGUACUGACACUGAGACACGAAAGCGUGGGGAGCAAACAGGAUUAGAUACCCCCGUAGUCC